AUGUCCACACCGGUGGAUCGAGCUCGCCCGUGGGAGGACGGACGCAAAUCAACUGGCAUCAGGUCAUCCUCUUCUCUUCCCAGCGGCAGCGAGACGGCGGCCGAGAGACUCACCGAGGACCUCCUAGUCGAGAUACUCUCGCGCGUGCCCGCCAGGCCGCUCUGCCGCUUCAAGUGCGUCUCCAAGCACUGGCUCGGCCUCAUCAACGACCGCACCUACCGCCGGAAGCUCCCCCAGACCCUGACCGGCUUCUUCUUCAGCGGCACCACGGAGGAGCAAUUGGUACAUCCAGUUCUUCCUUUCACCAAUUUAUCCGGGAGCCGCAGUCGCACCAGUCUUACCUUCCUGCCCAACGGCCGGGACGCCUUUCUUUUGGACUGCUGCAAUGGCUUCCUUCUCUACGACGUAUCUGCCCAUCUUGGCAAGCGCCGUUACGUCGUGUGCAAUCCUGCCACGGAGGAAUGGACUGAGUUGCCGCAUUGCGACCAUCCGGCUGGGUGGGUAUUGUGCGCUUAG
rnacentral:rRNA from 1 species